rnacentral:rRNA from 1 species
UACCGAGUUUCCAACUCACAACCCACUGCGAACAUACCUACGUUGCUUCGGCGGUCCCCGGCUCCGGCCGCGCCGCCGAGGAACCCAAACUCUUGUUUUUCCAAUGUGUAAUUCUGAGUAUCUUGAAAUAAAUCAAAACCUUCAACAACGGAUCUCUUGGCUCUGGCAUCGAUGAAGAACGCAGCGAAAUGCGAAAAGUAAUGUGAAUUGCAGAAUUCAGUGAAUCAUCGAAUCUUUGAACGCACAUUGCGCCCGCUGGUACUCCGGCGGGCACGCCUGUCCGAGCGUCAUUUCAACCCUCAGUACCCGCCCUCACGGGCGCGGGACUGGUNUGGGGCCCGGCCGCCAUCACCGGCGGCCGUCCCCUAAAUUCAGUGGCGGUCACGCCGCAAUCCCUUGCGUAGUAACACACCUCGCACCGGAGAGCGACGCGGUCCACGCCGUGAAACCCCCAAUUUUCAAUGGUUGACCUCGGAUCAGGUGGGAAUACCCGCUGAACUUAAGCAUAUCAAUAAGCGGAGGAAAAGAAACCAACAGGGAUUGCCUCAGUAACGGCGAGUGAAGCGGCAACAGCUCAAAUUUGAAAUCUGGCUUUCGGGUCCGAGUUGUAAUUUGCAGAGGAUGCUUUUGGCGAGGUGCCUUCCGAGUUCCCUGGAACGGGACGCCAUA